rnacentral:tRNA from 1 species
GGGGUUGGGGAUCAGUGGUAGGGCACUUGCCUAGCAUGCAUGAGGCACUGGGUUCAAUACCCAGUACCCCA